rnacentral:rRNA from 1 species
AGAUGGGAGCUUGCUCCCUGAUGUUAGCGGCGGACGGGUGAGUAACACGUGGGUAACCUGCCUGUAAGACUGGGAUAACUCCGGGAAACCGGGGCUAAUACCGGAUGGUUGUCUGAACCGCAUGGUUCAGACAUAAAAGGUGGCUUCGGCUACCACUUACAGAUGGACCCGCGGCGCAUUAGCUAGUUGGUGAGGUAACGGCUCACCAAGGCGACGAUGCGUAGCCGACCUGAGAGGGUGAUCGGCCACACUGGGACUGAGACACGGCCCAGACUCCUACGGGAGGCAGCAGUAGGGAAUCUUCCGCAAUGGACGAAAGUCUGACGGAGCAACGCCGCGUGAGUGAUGAAGGUUUUCGGAUCGUAAAGCUCUGUUGUUAGGGAAGAACAAGUGCCGUUCAAAUAGGGCGGCACCUUGACGGUACCUAACCAGAAAGCCACGGCUAACUACGUGCCAGCAGCCGCGGUAAUACGUAGGUGGCAAGCGUUGUCCGGAAUUAUUGGGCGUAAAGGGCUCGCAGGCGGUUUCUUAAGUCUGAUGUGAAAGCCCCCGGCUCAACCGGGGAGGGUCAUUGGAAACUGGGGAACUUGAGUGCAGAAGAGGAGAG